GGGACUAAAGGUGGUGAUAAGGAGGUAAAAUAUAAGCAUACAAUUAUGAUAGUCUAUAAACUUCUUAAUUUGCUAUCAUGCUGUUGCUUUGCAUAUCUUAUAGUUAGUAGUAACUCUUAAGAAAAUGGGCCGGGCCUAACUCACCCUCAAUAGCUAACUCAAGAGGGGAGGAUUGCUUAAGGCUUUAUAGAGGGCACAUUACACCUAUCCCAAACUGAUUUGGA
rnacentral:misc_RNA from 1 species